AUUGAACGCUGGCGGCAGGCCUAACACAUGCAAGUCGAGCGGAGCGGCGGACGGGGGAGUAAUGCCUAUGUAUCGGACUGGUAGUGGUGGAUAGGGUUCAGAAAUGGGAGCUAAUACCGCUUACUAUCAGAUGCGGCUAGGUCGGAUUAGCUAGUGGGUGGGGUAAGGGCCGACCAAGGCGACGAUCCGUAGCUGGUGUGAGAGGAUGAUCAGUCACACUGGAACUGAGACACGGUCCAGACUCCUACGGGAGGCAGCAGUGGGGAAUAUUGGACAAUGGGCGAAAGCCUGAUCCAGCCAUGCCGCGUGUGUGAAGAAGGGCUUCGGGUGGUAAAGCACUUUAAGUUGGGAGGCGUUACCAGCAGAAUAAGCACCGGCUAACUCCGUGCCAGCAGCCGCGGUAAUAC
rnacentral:rRNA from 1 species